rnacentral:rRNA from 1 species
CCUACGGGAGGCAGCAGUGGGGAAUAUUGCACAAUGGGCGCAAGCCUGAUGCAGCAACGCCGCGUGAGGGAUGACGGCCUUCGGGUUGUAAACCUCUUUUAGUAGGGAAGAAGCGAAAGUGACGGUACCUGCAGAAAAAGCACCGGCUAACUACGUGCCAGCAGCCGCGGUAAUACGUAGGGUGCAAGCGUUGUCCGGAAUUAUUGGGCGUAAAGAGCUCGUAGGCGGUUUGUCGCGUCUGCUGUGAAAUCCCGAGGCUCAACCUCGGGCCUGCAGUGGGUACGGGCAAACUAGAGUGUGGUAGGGGAGAUUGGAACUCCUGGUGUAGCGGUGGAAUGCGCAGAUAUCAGGAAGAACACCGAUGGCGAAGGCAGAUCUCUGGGCCAUUACUGACGCUGAGGGGCGAAAGCGUGGGGAGCGAACAGGAUUAGAUACCCUGGUAGUCCACGCCGUAAACGUUGGGAACUAGAUGUAGGGUCCAUUCCACGGAUUCUGUGUCGCAGCUAACGCAUUAAGUUCCCCGCCUGGGGAGUACGGCCGCAAGGCUAAAACUCAAAGGAAUUGACGG